UUUUUCUUUUAUCAUUAUCAUUGUUCCUCUUCAGAACCAAUGGGUAUGUGUGUGCCCCCGGACCUGACAGUGGGGGCCAAGGCUGUGUGUGCCGACGGCUACUGGUGUAACCAGGGACAGUGUCGCCCCCUGCUGGGAUAGAUCUACUACAGUUUACUGGCAGAGAGGCCUCCACAGAGGAACGGCUCAACUGUGGACUCCACCAAACAGUUUCUGAUGUUUCCCCAUCGCUGAGCACCGCACACUACUGAGGAAGAACUGCCGCUGUCAUCUUGAUACUUCAUCAAUGUAUAUUUAAACUUCUCAGUCUAAGAUUCCAGCAUACGUACCCUAUCCAAAUGGCGUAUUAUUUAUGGCAGUCUUACAACAUUAUACUAGCUGGGCCCCCUUUCCAUGAAAGGAAUGAUCGGUGCAUUAACAUCAACUGAAAGUGCUAUAUUUACACUCAACUGGAAUGGAGCAAUAAAUCUUGGGAGAUGCAAAAAAUUAGAUGGUCUAGAUCUAGAGAUUUAUACUCUCAAAACAAAAUGCGCCUCGCGAAAUAUCACUUCCGGCACUUCCGUUGUGAAGGACAGCUACGCAGAUUUGUUUCGUUUCUCUAUGGAAUAAUCACAAAGGCCAAAGAAGGACUUUCUAAUAAAUUUUUCCAAAUUCAGGAAAUGAAUAAAUAAAAAAUUGGGCUCUGUUAUGGGGACCAAUGUAUCAUUUUGCAGGUACACAUGUACUUGCCAACUUUCAACUCUGUAGCUGUCCAAGUUUUAUGGGAAAAGUGACACAUGUGUUUUUAAGUUGCCAAAUAUAGAAUAAAUAUGGGCCAUCAGUUUGAAUGAAAAUAAUUCAAAUAAAUCAAUAAAGAUCUAUUUCAAA